rfam:Flavobacteriaceae bacterium TMED220 14294, whole genome shotgun sequence.
UUGUUUUGGGCAAGUCCUAUACAACUAGCUCCUAUUUAAUCCCCCAGGGUGGGAACACAGCAAGGGUCAAUGGUUGUAGCAGUGUGAUAUAGUAAGCUUGCCCAUNU